GUAGGCUUCCACAAUUACCUUCACAGUUAAGAGUUGGCCCAAGGUAGUCUGAACACACUUUCCCAAACACCAGGCUGGGGAAGGGCUUAGGGGUUGGGAUGGCCCAUAUACAGGACACAGCUCUAAUCUCCCUCUGUACUGUGGAUGGAGUCCUUAAGGCCACACUGGGCCCUUGUUUCUAGGAACUGGAGGAGCUGAGCCUGACAACAGAAGUAGAGUACUUGCCAUCAGCUCUGAGUCCAGUGCCAGUGAGGCCUCUUCUCUGGGUGCAUCCAUAGACACAGGAGGACCCCAUGAGGACUUCCCUGCAGGAGGUGGACCAAGAGCAGGUACAGCAAUGGGCUGAGCUGGAAAGGGUCUAGGAUGUAUUGGAGGCCCCUAAGGCUUCCCAGGCUUAAACCCUGGUGCGCAGCUGGCGUCCAUCUUCCCUUCUCCACACUGGAGCAGUCAAGGCCUCCCCCACACAGGGCUUGGGCCAGCUGUCUCUCCUUCCACACAGCCAGCAAGCCAGCUCUUCUUCUAGAAGAGGAGUUGGUGGACAGGCCCAGCCCCGGAGGCCAGGAGAGCACCUGAGACCGCUGAGAGCUGGGAACUGUCACAGCUGAGAGGCGCUGUGAAACUGUCACAGCUGUGCUCUCACAGCUCCCGAGACCCAGGGCAGCCCAGCCCACUUCUGGGGUGUUUCAUCACAGCAAUGGUAACCUUUACCAAGACAGAAACUGGCACCACGAGAGUGGGGUAAGGCGAUAACAGACCUGACCAUGUUUUUCUGGGAGAACUGUGGGAGGACUUUGGAAUAUUUGGGUUAGAGAAGCACUGAGUGUUGAGAGCUCAGAGGAAUGGAUAGUAGGAGCCUAGACAAGACGAAUGUUGGGAGCAGUGCAGAUGAUGAAGGCCUGGCUUGUGAGGUUUCCGAGGUAAGCAAAGACUACAGGAUCAUUUGUGUGAAGACGCCAUGGUGUCUGCUCAGCUGGAGAUAGGGACUGAUUAACAAAUGACCAGCACAAAUGAAGUGAAACCCUUUGUUUACUGAGACAACGAUGCUGCUUAGCUGGAGCUGAGACAUUAAUGGUUAAGAAGAGACCAGCAAUGGGUGGUGGUGACACUUUUAAUCCCAGCACUUGGGAGG